UACGGAGGAUCCGAGCGUUAUCCGGAUUUAUUGGGUUUAAAGGGAGCGUAGGCGGGUUGUUAAGUCAGUUGUGAAAGUUUGCGGCUCAACCGUAAAAUUGCAGUUGAUACUGGCAUCCUUGAGUACAGUAGAGGUAGGCGGAAUUCGUGGUGUAGCGGUGAAAUGCUUAGAUAUCACGAAGAUCUCCGAUUGCGAAGGCAGCCUGCUGGACUGUAACUGACGCUGAUGCUCGAAAGUGUGGGUAUCAAACAGG
rnacentral:rRNA from 1 species